CAAUAGCGUAUAUUUAAGUUGUUGCAGUUAAAAAGCUCGCAGUCGGAUUUUGGCUGAGAACGAACGGUCCGCCGUUAGGUGUGCACUGUUUGGUCUCAGCUUCCUGGUGAGGAGGUGUGCUUCACGGCCACUUAGUCACCGUGGUUACUUUGAAAAAAUUAGAGUGUUCAAAGCGGGCUUACGCUUGAAUAUAUUAGCAUGGAAUAACACCAUAGGACUCCUGUCCUAUUUCGUUGGUCUCGGGACGGGAGUAAUGAUUAAGAGGAACAGUUGGGGGCAUUCGUAUUUCAUUGUCAGAGGUGAAAUUCUUGGAUUUAUGAAAGACGAACUACUGCGAAAGCAUUUGCCAAGGAUGUUUUCAUUAA
rnacentral:rRNA from 1 species